rnacentral:rRNA from 1 species
GAUGAACGCUGGCGGCGUGCCUAAUACAUGCAAGUCGAGCGAACAGACGAGGAGCUUGCUCCUCUGACGUUAGCGGCGGACGGGUGAGUAACACGUGGAUAACCUACCUAUAAGACUGGGAUAACUUCGGGAAACCGGAGCUAAUACCGGAUAAUAUAUUGAACCGCAUGGUUCAAUAGUGAAAGACGGUUUUGCUGUCACUUAUAGAUGGAUCCGCGCCGCAUUAGCUAGUUGGUAAGGUAACGGCUUACCAAGGCAACGAUGCGUAGCCGACCUGAGAGGGGGAUCGGCCACACGGGAGGUGAGCGACGAUCCAGCCCCUGAGGGGAGGCAGCGGUAGGGAAGUUUCGGAAAUGGGGGAAAGCUUGCCGAAGCAACGCCGGGGGGUUGAUGAAGGUCUGCGGAUGGUAAAACUCUGUUAUUGGGGAAAAACAAAUUUGUAGUAACUAUGCACGUCUUGACGGUACCUAAUCAGAAAGCCACGGCUAACUACGUG